rnacentral:rRNA from 1 species
GAGGGUUUGAUCCUGGCUCAGGAUGAACGCUGACAGAAUGCUUAACACAUGCAAGUCGAUGGGGAAGUGGUGCUUGCACCAUGGUAACCAUGGCGGACGGGUGAGUAACGCGUAAGGAACUUACCUGCGGGACCGGGAUAACAGCAGGAAACUGCUGACAAGACCGGAUAAGGUCAUUAAGCUGCAUAGCUUAGUGAUGAAAGGAGACGCCUGCGGAGAGCCUUGCGUCCUAUUAGCUAGUUGGAGGGGUAACGGCCCACCAAGGCGAAGAUAGGUAGCCGGCCUGAGAGGGUGGACGGCCACAAGGGGACUGAGAUACGGCCCUUACUCCUACGGGAGGCAGCAGUGGGGAAUAUUGGACAAUGGGGGCAACCCUGAUCCAGCAAUUCUGUGUGCACGAAGACGGUUUUCGGAUUGUAAAGU